rnacentral:lncRNA from 1 species
CGGCACAUUCCUCACCACACUCUCUCCCUCCCUUGCUCAUGCACAAUGUCCUUUUGUCACUGGGCCCCUCGCCCCUGGGGGCACAGCAUGAGCUGCUGUGGAGGUCAUUGCCAGGGAGCUGCUUAGUUCCCGGGGCCGCUGAAGUGUGUGAGCCUCUUCCUCCAUGUGGGGGCUGCAUCGUGAACAGGCAGGCUCUGGGUCCUGGUAUUCUGUGGAGUUCUGCUCCCGUGGUUAGUGUUGACUCAGUGGCCACCUGGCUGGGAGAAGCCAUGGGCAGCAGACGCAUCUGGCAAGCAGAACUGGAAGGCACUGUUUUGAGUUGAAAGUGCGGCGAACUCCACUCUCAAGAGGCAGGUAAGAUGCGCUCCA